CUUCCAUAGGAUCUGAGGUCCCUGAGAAUGCCGGUGGUGCAUAUUUUUUGAAGUCUAAUAAAUUGAUUUGACGUUCAUACUGAUUUCCAGCUCCUUGUUGCUGCUGGGACUGUCGCUCCUAAAAUAUUUGUUGUAUGAUCUGCUAUUGUUGUCCCUGUUGCACCUCCAAUAUCCUCCUCAUAUCUUCCCUCGCAGCCACUUGUUGUUGAACCAGUACUUGCAUUAACUGAGCUGCAGUAAUUUAUUCCCCAAGUUGAAUUUCAGGUUCUCCUGGAGUUUCUUCCCCGGGAGUGACCUCUGCAGGCUCAGUAGGAUGUUCUUGUUAUGGUGCAUCAUCAUCCGAUGAGGGUGGAGCAUUUUCUUGUGGUGUAGCUGGCUCCCAAGCAUUAGAGCCAUCCGCAAAAUG
rnacentral:lncRNA from 1 species